GUGCCAGCCGCCGCGGUAAUACGAAGGGGGCUAGCGUUGCUCGGAAUUACUGGGCGUAAAGGGAGCGUAGGCGGACAUUUAAGUCAGGGGUGAAAUCCCGAGGCUCAACCUCGGAACUGCCUUUGAUACUGGGUGUCUUGAGUGUGAGAGAGGUAUGUGGAACUCCGAGUGUAGAGGUGAAAUUCGUAGAUAUUCGGAAGAACACCAGUGGCGAAGGCGACAUACUGGCUCAUUACUGACGCUGAGGCUCGAAAGCGUGGGGAGCAAACAGGAUUAGAUACCCUGGUAGUCCACGCCGUAAACGAUGAUUGCUAGUUGUCGGGAAGCUUGCUUUUCGGUGACGCAGCUAACGCAUUAAGCAAUCCGCCUGGGGAGUACGGUCGCAAGAUUAAAACUCAAAUGAAUUGACGGGG
rnacentral:rRNA from 1 species